UACGGAGGGUGCGAGCGUUGUCCGGAAUCACUGGGCGUAAAGGGUGCGUAGGCGGUCGGGUAAGUCUGAUGUGAAAUCUCACAGCUUAACUGUGAAACUGCAUUGGAUACUAUCCGGCUCGAGGAAUGGAGGGGAGACUGGAAUUCCUGGUGUAGCGGUGAAAUGCGCAGAUAUCAGGAGGAACACCGGUGGCGAAGGCGGGUCUCUGGGCCGAUACUGACGCUGAGGAGCGAAAGCGUGGGGAGCAAACAGG
rnacentral:rRNA from 1 species